GGACUGACCCUUCAUCCUCAUGGAUACCGGUGGUGUUUGUCACUGCUGAACCACAAAAGGAAGUCCCAGAGUGACAUUCUGAUGCAUGUCCUAGUUUAUCUCGCUUGAGUGGUUGGGGAAGAGAAGGGCUGUGAAAGAACAGAGCUUUUAUAAAACAGAAUAACAGGGUGGCUGGGCUUCUGUGCUGCCGUGGUUACAAAACACUGAGAGAAGUCAUAAGAAAUUGACAGUAAUUAGAGUUUCCCAGCGCUGGAGAGUUAGGACUGGGAUGUUUUCAUUCCACAAGCGUCACCUAAGCACCUGCCUGCACAAAGCUCUUGACUAGGACCCUUCUGUGCUGCAAACACAUAUCUAAUGCUUAGGAGUUCCUUCUUUCACUCACUUAUUCCAUAAAUCUGUGAGUGUUUAUUACAUGCCAAGAACUGUUCCAGGGGCUGUGGAUAGAAUGACAAAUACCCCAGGGUCCUGAGCUCUGGAGCCUUGCAGAAUAUGAGGAGGCUGGCCGAUAAUAAGCCUCAGAUGCAAGCUUGAUCAGCAAUAGCUGGGGGAACUUGGGGAGCACAGAGAAAGGAUGCCAAACCCAGGCUCUUGAUGCUUGCGAGUCAAUCUCAGGUUUGGGCACCGCUAGGAACGGCAUCCGGAAGAGUUUCAAGAUGAGGAACCGGCUCUCAGCUGUGGAGCUGAGUGAAGGAGGUGGAUGUGGCUUCAACCCUUGGUUUUUCCACUGCUCACCAGGAGGUCAGUUCUAGAAGGACCAAUGGAGUCCAGGCAGGAGGUUAUGGAAGAAAAUUAAGAGCAAAUGGUUACACUCUGAGUGAUAGAAAUAUGCUUGAAAUUAGAUUAUACUAGGAAGCUGACAAUGCUAGGUGUCCCCUGGUGUGAUCAAACCUGGAUGAAGAUUUAGACAAAUCAAGUUCAUUAGCAGCAGCCUGAUAAGCCCAAAGACAAGUGUUCAUUCACUCAGGGGAGUUGAACUGCCCAGUCAAGGAGACUACCUGUGAUUUUUCUCUUGUGAACCGCCUGUGUGGCUCUAGGACUUACGCAAAUGAUCUUUGAAUGUUGGGACUUAUGCAAAUGAUCUUUGAAUGUUGGGACUUAUGCAAAUGAGAUUUGGAUGUUGGGACUUAUGCAAAUGAUCUUUGAAUGUUGGGACUUAUGCAGAUGACUUUGAAUGUUGGGACUUAUGCAAAUGAGCUUUGACUGCUGGGACUUAUGCAAACAUGCUUUGAAUAUGGAUGAAGUCUGUCUCUCCAUCAGUUGCAGACUGCCGCUGCUCCUCCCCUCCCAAUCCAGUUUUUCUUUCUCGUCUCGCUCGGUUCUUUGAAUGGUUUUGCUCCUCCAUUUCUAAGACCUCCUUCAGUAUCACCCCAUCCUGGGUCAGUUACAGGUCAUGUUCAACUCCAAGGAACAGAAAACUUGACUCAACAAUGGCUUCAACAGAUCAGGAGGUUUAAUUUUCCUUUUUGGCCAUGGCCAGCACUGGCGGAGAGACCGAGGGAGUUAAGGCUGAGAUAGCUGCCAAUUUUUGCCGCAAUCCUGUUAUCAUAACCAUAUUCUAAAUGGAAAGAGCAGGAAGCACCCAGGAGGAAUGGGAAAUCCCUGUGUUUGAAACGCAAAACCAGUCCAGAAAUGGCCCACAGACUUCUCCUGGGUCUCAUCAGUCAGAGCUGAGGUUGAGCCUACCCAGCCAGGAAGGCGGCUGGAAGGUACCGUUUUUCACCUGAGACCGUUGCUGCCUCACACAGAUCCGUGAGGCCAGACCUUCGAGAACAUCAAGCGAAACCAGCUGCCAACAGGAUCACAAAUGUGUGCAGUCCCGUGAGAGGACGUGCGUCCUCACAGAGUUUGGGGUUUCUCUUCCAACUUCCCGGUCCUGUCCCAGUUCCCGUGGGAGACUCAAGGCAGAAUCGGGAGCAGCUCACAGACUGGCUUUGAGGACCUUGCCACCCAGUGGGGAGAUCCACGCAAACCCAGCCAGCAUGUCAACAGUGCACUAGAGAAAGCAUGUGAAGGAAAAGAAUUUUCUUUGGUUCACAUCAUCACUGAGCAUCGUGUACCUAACCUCAUCCUUCUAUGAAGUCUUUGAAAAAAGACUGCUUUAUUUGGAAAUGCGACAUCCUGCCAAAUGGUCUCAAGAUAUAUCUGCUAUUUGAUUCUGGAUAAUCUCCACCUUGCCACAUCUCAGGUCCAAUGUGAAAUGUUGAUCUAUUAAUUUUUAAGUGGAAACCCUGGAUGCUAUGUAUAAAACCAUGAAACGAGGAAAGAAGAGGGCAGAUCAGCUAGAGACCCUGGGACCCAAAGAAUGGCACAGUGGUGAGUUCCCAGUUUCUUUUUGUGUCAUGUGCCCCAAGCUUAGACCUGAAGAAGCAGGCAGCUGGGAAACACCUAUGGGCCAGAUAAGAGAAAGUCCCAGGUGAAGCCAGCCCUCUCCAUGCCCUCUGUCUUCUCUCCAGGCCCGCUCUAUGGUCUCUCCAGGCCCUCUCUGUGCUCUCUCCAGGCCCUCUCCAGCCAAAGGAGCUGGGACAGGGCCAUCUGGGAAGACAGGUUAUUUUAGACAAUAGCUGUUCUACUCCAGUCAAAUACCACAGCAAAAAACUGUGGUCCCAUGCAUGCCAGAAAAGGCCACAUAGGGAGCCUAGACUUAAACUUUGCAGGCUUCAAAGAGAUACCCCUACCCCAUGCCCUUCCCUAUCCUACGAGGGGGUGAUAUCAGAGAAAGCUGAUAACCCCACCCAACAGUAGCAGAGUGCACAUUUUCUACAAGUGCCCACAGAGCAGGUAUCACAUCACGAUAGACCAUAUUUGGGCCAUAGUGGAAUCAAAUUAGAAAUCAGUAACAGGGAGACACAUGCACCCGCAUGUUCAUUGCAGCACUAUUCACAAUAGCCAGGACGUGGAAACAACCCAAAUGU